UGUUAAAAAUUUCAUCCAUUUAUAUUGUUAAAAAUUGACAUGAUUGAUAGAAUAACCAAACAGUAACACACGAUAUGCCACAUGUACAUUGUGUUGACAUACAAAGACUAAUUUUUAACAAUAGAAAUAAAUGUAAAUUUUAAAA
rfam:Gossypium hirsutum cultivar TM-1 unplaced genomic scaffold scaffold2312.1, whole genome shotgun sequence